GCAUCGAUGAAGAACGCAGCGAACUGCGAUACGUAAUGCGAAUUGCAGGAUUCAGUGAGUCAUCGAAAUUUUGAACGCAUAUUGCACUUCCGGGUUAGUCCUGGGAGUAUGCCUGUAUCAGUGUCCGUACAUCAAACUUGGCUUUCUUCCUUCCGUGUAGUCGGUGGAGGAUGUGCCAGAUGUGAAGUGUCUUGCGUGUUGUCCUUCGGGUCGACUGCGAGUCCUUUUAAAUGUACUGAACUGUACUUCUCUUUGCUCGAAAAGCGUGGUAUUGCUGGUUGUGGAGGCUGCCUGCGUGGCCAGUCGGCGACCGGUUUGUCUGCUGCGGCGUUUAAAGGAGGAGUGUUCGAUUCGCGGUAUGGUUGGCUUCGGCUGAACAGGCGCUUAUUGAAUGCUUUUCCUGCUGUGGCGUGAUGGGCUGGUGAACCGUAGCUGUGUUUGGCUUGGCUUUUGAAUCGGCUUUGCUGUUGCGAAGUAAGGGUGGCGGCUUCGGCUGUCGAAGGGUCGAUCCAUUUUGGGAACUUUGUGUGCACUUCGGUGCGCAUCUCAAUUGGACCUGAUAUCAGGCAAGAUUACCGCUGAACUUAAGCAUAUCAUUAAGCGGAGGU
rnacentral:rRNA from 1 species